rnacentral:rRNA from 1 species
GAUGAGCGCUGGCGGAGUGCCUAAUACAUGCAAGUCGAGCGGCAGCACGAGUAGUUUACUACUUGGUGGCGAGCGGCGGACGGCUGAGUAACGCGUGGGAACGUGCCCCAAAGUGAGGAAUAACUGCCCGAAAGGGUAGCUAAUGCCGCAUAUGAUCUUCGGAUUAAAGUAUUUAUUACGCUUUGGGAGCGGCCCGCGUC